rnacentral:rRNA from 1 species
CGCCAGACUCCUACGGGAGGCAGCAGUGGGGAAUAUUGCACAAUGGGGGAAACCCUGAUGCAGCGACGCCGCGUGAGCGAUGAAGUAUUUCGGUAUGUAAAGCUCUAUCAGCAGGGAAGAAAAUGACGGUACCUGACUAAGAAGCCCCGGCUAACUACGUGCCAGCAGCCGCGGUAAUACGUAGGAUCCGAGCAUUAUCCGGAGUGACUGGGUGUAAAGAGUUGCGUAGGUGGCAUAAUAAGUAGCUAGUGAAAUCUGGUGGCUCAACCAUUCAGACUAUUAGCUAAACUGUUAAGCUCGAGACCGUUAGGGGUAACUGGAAUUUCUAGUGUAGCGGUGAAAUGCGUAGAUAUUAGGAGGAACACCGGCGGCGAAGGCGGCCUGCUGGACCGUAACUGACGUUGAGGCUCGAAAGCGUGGGGAGCAAACAGGAUUAGAUACCCGUGUACAG